rnacentral:misc_RNA from 1 species
UUUUUUUUUUUUUUUAACUGAGUAAGCAUUGUAGUUCAUUAGAUGAGGUUGAUCAAGUUUCUAGGGUAACCACUUUUUACCCGAACGUUGGAUAGUUGCCUUAUCUGAAUAGGCAAAUAUCCUCUAAAUAUCCUCUGUUCAGAUAAGGCUUUGCUGAAAUGGGAAUGUGGCAAGUGAUGAUGUGUUUUGUCAUAUAGAGAAGGAUUGAUGUGAGGGAUAAUUUGCUAGGACAGUUGAAAGAUACAUCAGAUAUGCUGAUAAAGCCUGAUAUAUGGAAUCUUCUUUGCAAAAGGUGGAGGGAGAGAGAGAGAGAAUUGACAAUGGGAAAGGAAACAUAUAUCCAUGGAUUGGAGUGUACUGGGCCUCUUAUCCCUCUUUAUGAUGUCACUACAGUUAUGUAAAGAACUUGAAUACAUUGUUUCUUGGAUUGAAUCAGGUUCUUGGAAAUUUCAAUGAGAAAUAAAAAGAUGUUUACUUUAAAAUAAUCC